rnacentral:rRNA from 1 species
UACGGGGGGGGCAAGCGUUGUUCGGAAUUACUGGGCGUAAAGGGCGCGUAGGCGGUUCGCUAAGUCGGAUGUGAAAACUCUGGGCUCAACCCAGAGCCUGCAUCCGAAACUGGCGGGCUAGAGUUCUGGAGGGGGUAGCGGAAUUCCUGGUGUAGCGGUGAAAUGCGUAGAUAUCAGGAAGAACACCAAUGGCGAAAGCAGCUCUCUGGGACGGUACUGACGCUGAGACGCGAAAGCGUGGGGAGCGAACAGG